ensembl:lncRNA
AGAGCACAUUCUACCACACACGGGGAAGGAUGUGGCGUCUGUAGAAGGCCUUCACCCCUUAAGAAAACCCCCCAGUGAAGUUGCUUUUGGAUAAGGUUGAACAGUGAUACUGGAGGGGAGACGCCACGGACCAUGCUUAAAACCAGCUCCCUGCAACCCACAGUGAGUAUCAGCAGUGUACAGAGAUGACUAGAGCAAGGCACGAAUGACCAGAGUUGGGAUUGUGGGGAGGGCGACAUGUCAGACGUCAAAGGCUGCCCCAAGAUAGCAGGUUCUAAUGGGCGUGGGAGAAAUUAGAGGGAGCAUCUCUUCCUGUACUCGGACAACAACUAAGUAGGAAACCAGAGGAGAGGGGGGACGGCGCACAUCCCAAAGAGGAAGAGGAGGGAGGAGGAGCUUCGGGGGAUGGAAGUCCUUCAGAUCUACAGGAGGGGGUGACGCUGCUGGAGAAGCAAACCUAGGCAUUGCGGCCACUCUGCCUCACUGAGUCACAGGUUGCAAUGUGGAAAUCAUUUCCGGUCACUCUCAACUUCUCCCAGAGGCUCAGGGCAAAAUCAGUGUGACUGAUGUGCAAGUGGAGGGUUGUGCAGCAGAGCUAACCAGUCACCAUGGAGCACGAUCAAGAGAGCUGGAAAGUAUUUUGGCACCUGCAAAAUUAAAGGGGCCAAGGGACAAAAAGAGCAUGUUCACUUCAGGGCACUUUUUGGUGAAGUGAAAAGAAGCAUCCAUUCUCUUCCACCAAGACUCUGCCCACUGCCCACAGGUGAGCACCAAUCCAUAUGGAAUCACUGCCUUAUUCCUCUCACCAUCAUCUGAUUCAGAUGGAUUGUUCACUGUGACUGAGACUAAUGCCUAGGAGGCUCUUCACCAGUCCUUUGCUCUGGUCAGCCAGGUAAGGACAGAAAGGGAGGCAUAAAAGGGAAAGCAAGGUGCAAUCUGAGGUGAACGGUCCCAGGUGCUGCCCCUUCCCCACCACUCCCCAAACACGAGUGGGAGGAGGAACUGCAAAGGUCCUGCCAUGGCAACCGCAUUGGAGGUCUGGUGACCAGGUGGCAAGAAGCACUAGAACGAAGCUCAGAGGACAUGACACACCUCAUGGGGCAGAGGACAUGAGGCAGAACCAGUGACUGGACAGGUACAGUACCAGAACAGAACUCCUUGGGUCAGUGCUUCGAGGGAGCCGCACCACAGGCUGGUGCAGGUCCCAUCCAGGCAACCUCACUGAGGCCGAGACAACAGUUCCUCAGAACCAGCAUCUGCAGUGAUCACGAGGGUGGAGCCAGGACAGAC